AUUGAACGCUGGCGGCAUGCUUUACACAUGCAAGUCGAACGGUAACAGGUUAAGCUGACGAGUGGCGAACGGGCGAGGAAUGCAUCGGAACGUGCCCGGUCGUGGGGGAUGACGCAGCGAAAGCUGCGCCAAUACCGCAUACGAUGUGAGGCUGAAAGCGGGGGACCGGGAGGCCUCGCCGGAUCGGAACGGCCGAUGUCAGAUUAGGUAGUUGGUGGGGUAAAGGCUCACAAAGCGGACGAUCUGUAGCUGGUCUGAGGACGACCAGCCACACUGGGACUGAGACACGGCCCAGACUCCUACGGGAGGCAGCAGUGGGGAAUUUUGGACAAUGGGCGCAAGCCUGAUCCAGCAAUGCCGCGUGCAGGAAGAAGGCCUUCGGGUUGUAAACUGCUUUUGUACGGAGCGAAAAGGCUCUCUCUAAUACAGGGGGCUCAUGACGGUACCGUAAGAAUAAGCACCGGCUAACUACGUGCCAGCCGCCGCAGUAA
rnacentral:rRNA from 1 species